UACGAAGGGGGCUAGCGUUGCUCGGAAUCACUGGGCGUAAAGCGCACGUAGGCGGCUUGUUAAGUCAGGGGUGAAAUCCUGGAGCUCAACUCCAGAACUGCCUUUGAUACUGGCAAGCUUGGAGUCCGGGAGAGGUGAGUGGAACUGCGAGUGUAGAGGUGAAAUUCGUAGAUAUUCGCAAGAACACCAGUGGCGAAGGCGGCUCACUGGCCCGGUACUGACGCUGAGGUGCGAAAGCUAGGGGAGCAAACGGG
rnacentral:rRNA from 1 species